rnacentral:rRNA from 1 species
GAUGAACGCUAGCUACAGGCUUAACACAUGCAAGUCGAGGGACCGGCGCACGGGUGAGUAACACGUAACCAACCUGCCCUUUACUCGGGGAUAGCCUUUCGGAAGAAAGAUCAAUAUCAGAUCUAAAGGAUGGGGAUGCGUUCCAUGAGGUUGUGGGUGAGGUAACGGCUCACCAAGCUUUCGAUGGGUAGGGGUUCGGAGAGGAAGGGCCCCCAGAGUGGAACUGAGGUACAGUCCAAAAUGCGACGGGAGGAUGCAGUGUGUAAUAUAGGUGAAUGGGCGUUAGCAUGAACCAGCCAAGUAUCGGGAAGGAUGAAGGCGUAUUGGUCGUAAACUUGUUUUAGAGAAGAAUAGGUAUUCGAUGAAGAAGGACCGGCUAACUCCGUGCCAGCAGCCGCGGUAAUUC